GACGAACGCUGGCGGCGUGCCUAAUACAUGCAAGUCGAGCGGACGAAUCGAAAGCUUGCUUUUGAUUCGUUAGCGGCGGACGGGUGAGUAACACGUGGGCAACCUGCCCUGUAGACGGGGAUAACACCGAGAAAUCGGUGCUAAUACCGGAUAACACGAAAUGUCGCAUGACGUUUCGUUGAAAGACGGCGCAAGCUGCCGCUACGGGAUGGGCCCGCGGCGCAUUAGCUAGUUGGUGAGGUAACGGCUCACCAAGGCGACGAUACGUAGCCGACCUGAGAGGGUGAUCGGCCACACUGGGACUGAGACACGGCCAAGACUCCUACGGGAGGCAGCAGUAGGGAAUCUUCCGCAAUGGACGAAAGUCUGACGGAGCAACGCCGCGUGAGCGAAGAAGGCCUUCGGGUCGUAAAGCUCUGUUGUUAGGGAAGAACAAGUAACGCAGUAACUGGCGUUACCGUGACGGUACCUAACGAGAAAGCCACGGCUAACUACGUG
rnacentral:rRNA from 1 species